GACGAACGCUGGCGGCGUGCUUAACACAUGCAAGUCGAACGAUGAAGCCGGAGCUUGCUCUGGUGAAUUAGUGGCGAACGGGUGAGUAACACGUGAGUAACCUGCCCUUGACUCUGGGAUAACUGCUAGAAAUGGUAGCUAAUACCGGAUACGACCCUCGGAGGCAUCUUCAGGGGGUGGAAAGAAUUUCGGUCAAGGAUGGACUCGCGGCCUAUCAGCUAGUUGGUGAGGUAAUGGCUCACCAAGGCGACGACGGGUAGCCGGCCUGAGAGGGUGACCGGCCACACUGGGACUGAGACACGGCCCAGACUCCUGCGGGAGGCAGCAGUGGGGAAUAUUGCACAAUGGGCGCAAGCCUGAUGCAGCAACGCCGCGUGAGGGAUGACGGCCUUCGGGUUGUAAACCUCUUUUAGUAGGGAAGAAGCGGGAGUGACGGUACCUGCAGAAAAAGCACCGGCUAACUACGUGCCAGCCGCCGCCGUAA
rnacentral:rRNA from 1 species